UACGAAGGGGGCUAGCGUUGCUCGGAAUCACUGGGCGUAAAGGGUGCGUAGGCGGGUCUUUAAGUCAGGGGUGAAAUCCUGGAGCUCAACUCCAGAACUGCCUUUGAUACUGAAGAUCUUGAGUUCGGGAGAGGUGAGUGGAACUGCGAGUGUAGAGGUGAAAUUCGUAGAUAUUCGCAAGAACACCAGUGGCGAAGGCGGCUCACUGGCCCGGUACGUGACGCUGAGGUGCGAAAGCGUGGGGAGCAAACAGGG
rnacentral:rRNA from 1 species